rnacentral:tRNA from 1 species
CGGUGUAGCUCAGCUGGUAGAGCAGCUGACUUGUAAUCAGCAGGUCGGGGGUUCGAAUCCUCUCGCC